GACAUAAGUUGUAGAGCUAGUGCUCAUCUGGCAGAGGAAAUCUCUAAUCAGAACUUUUUUACACAAUCAAAGCUAUGAUCCCCCACAAAAAGCCUUAAGUCAAAAUGCAAAUUGUUUUAUGAUUGAGCUAUCUUCAUCUUAAUGAAUAACAUUUGGCAUAUUUGCUGUUGAGUUAAAAUUUCUCCAAUGUGACCAAUGUAUAUUUUAAUUCUGUAUGCGUGUAUUUACAAUCUUAAACAACUAAGAACAGUUUUUGAGUGUAAUCUGCCAAGGUGGACUAAAGAUCCUAAAUUCGACAGGUAACUGUUGGAGUAAGUGUAGAGAAGUAUAUGUCCAUGAGAAGAGUCUCACUGGGAAGUCUUCUCCUAUAUUCAGACAGGCCUGAAUUGAAGAUUCUUUGGUCUUGAGAAGAAAAUGAAGAACACCAAGUCUUAGGCAUCAAAUAAAAUUGCUAAAAUGUCACUCAACAAGCAUUUGUUAAGCACCUACUGUAUGCCAGGAAUGUCAGUGUUGAUUUGAUUAAAGCAGACAGAAGAGAGGGAACAGCAUGGCACCAAGAAGGCCAGAGAGCGGCCUGCUCCCUAAUCGAAUUCUGUCCUGGAUCUCCUGGGAAGCAGAAUGAAAUCUUAGUGGCAAGGAGUAGAAGCAUCUGCUGGGAAGG